UUUACAUUCAGGGAGUCAAGACUACCAGCAUUUCCUCCUAGUGUUCUCGGGUCCCUCCCACCUUCACCUGAUGCAUCAACCUCAGAGAAAAUAAUCCUGAACCCUUUUUAAGACCACAUCCAAACAAAUGCUUCAGGAAACACGCCCUCUGCCUUUCUUCAAGGCCCAGCAUCUGGGCUCCCUUACUGCCAGCAUCUGUCCAAGAUCAGUCUCGGAGAUGUUGCUUUUAUUUGUAGGUAGCCUGUGCUACACAGAGUUCGCGGUCAGUUUGCAGAGAAUCAGCAGAGACCCUGGAGGCAAAAGGUUUCCUUACCACUGUGGACUCGACUCCUUUGGGCUGCAGGGAGAAAGAAAGACUCUUUUAAGUGGACGGGUCGGAUCCAAAGCUAAAGAAAGAAGAAGAUUGGAAUCAAUAUGACUGUCGGCGAGGAAGGUUUCCAUCCCGCUUUCAAACCAUAAAGCCUUUCAAACCAGCCUUGCAUCGCCUCCUGUGACAAAUAGUCACCCUUGCCUUUGCUCAACAGCCAGAGAUCCAGUCAACAGCAUUCAUUAAUCUGACAUGUACAGAGAAAGUGUGAACCAGGACUCAAGAUGAAUCAGAGUGUGAGAAGACAGCAGCCUGUGAAAACCUUUGUUGCCACAUCCUGAGGAUGUGAACCCCACCAGCAACCCCUUGAAGAGAGUGCAUUGUGAUGCAAGG